UCAAUAGAAUGGAGGAAUAUUUCCUAUAAGUGUAGAACUCUUAUUUUAGUGUUAUCUCUAAAUUGAGUGGAACUCCUAAUCUAUUGAGGUGACUAAUACUAUAAAUAGAAAUAUUAUGGAAAUGUUAUUUGUCUUUGUCCAUGGAGAGUGGUUUUGUCCAUUGAAGAGAGUAGGGUUUUACCAAUUGUUUAGGAUUUGGCUUUGAUGAAAGAGCUCUUGCCCAUGAAGUUGUAGACACCCUUUGUUGUGUAGUAAUUGUAAUAGUAAAUAUAUUGAGUU
rnacentral:misc_RNA from 1 species